GGAGAGAUGGCCGAGCGGCUGAAGGCGCUCCCCUGCUAAGGGAGUAUACGGGCAAAACCUGUAUCGAGGGUUCGAAUCCCUCUCUCUCCGCCA
rnacentral:tRNA from 1 species